rnacentral:rRNA from 1 species
UACGGAGGGUGCAAGCGUUGUUCGGAAUCAUUGGGCGUAAAGCGCACGUAGGCGGGUUUGUAAGUUGAUUGUGAAAUCCCAGGGCUCAACCUUGGAAUUGCAGUCAAAACUGCAGAUCUUGAAUACUUGAGAGGGUGGGAGAAUUCCUGGUGGAGAAGUGAAAUUCGUAGAGAUCAGGAGGAAUACCGGAGGCGAAGGCGCCUGCCUGGCAAGAUAUUGACGCUGAGGUGCGAAAGCGUGGGUAGCAAACAGG